UCUAAGGAUGAAUGAAAGUAAAAUUUCAUUCUAAAUAAUAUACAUCGGUAAUGUUGACCGUCCUCAUUUCUCUUCUUAAAAUAAUGUUUCCUUCUUGUAGGGCCGGUAGCUCAGUUGGUUAGAGCACACCCUUGAUAAGGGUGGGGUCGAAAGUUCGAGUCUUUCUCGGCCCACCAUACUUAACUGGGGGAUUAGCUCAGCUGGGAGAGCGCCUGAUUUGCAUUCAGGAGGUCAGCGGUUCGAUCCCGCUAUCCUCCACCAGGAAACAUUUAGUUAUUAAAACUGUAAAUAAAAAUAAUUUAUAUCAAUAUCUAUAUCCGAACAUUAAUUUUGUUAUUAGUUAAUGUUCAAAAUAAAAAUUUGAUUCAACACAGAAUUUUUUUCUG
rnacentral:tRNA from 1 species